UGGGGAAUUUUGGACAAUGGGGGAAACCCUGAUCCAGCCAUCCCGCGUGUGCGAUGAAGGCCUUCGGGUUGUAAAGCACUUUUGGCAGGAAAGAAACGUCAUGGGUUAAUACCCCGUGAAACUGACGGUACCUGCAGAAUAAGCACCGGCUAACUACGUGCCAGCAGCCGCGGUAAUACGUAGGGUGCAAGCGUUAAUCGGAAUUACUGGGCGUAAAGCGUGCGCAGGCGGUUCGGAAAGAAAGAUGUGAAAUCCCAGAGCUCAACUUUGGAACUGCAUUUUUAACUACCGCGCUAGAGUGUGUCAGAGGGAGGUGGAAUUCCGCGUGUAGCAGUGAAAUGCGUAGAUAUGCGGAGGAACACCGAUGGCGAAGGCAGCCUCCUGGGAUAACACUGACGCUCAUGCACGAAAGCGUGGGGAGCAAACAGG
rnacentral:rRNA from 1 species